rnacentral:lncRNA from 1 species
GGCAAAUAUUGGCAAUUAGUUGGCAGUGGCCUGUUACGGUUGGGAUUGGUGGGGUGGGUUUAGGUAAUUGUUUAGUUUAUGAUUGCAGAUAAACUCAUGCCAGAGAACUUAAAGUCUUAGAAUGGAAAAAGUAAAGAAAUAUCAACUUCCAAGUUGGCAAGUAACUCCCAAUGAUUUAGUUUUUUUCCCCCCAGUUUGAAUUGGGAAGCUGGGGGAAGUUAAAUAUGAGCCACUGGGUGUACCAGUGCAUUAAUUUGGGCAAGGAAAGUGUCAUAAUUUGAUACUGUAUCUGUUUUCCUUCAAAGUAUAGAGCUUUUGGGGAAGGAAAGUAUUGAACUGGGGGUUGGUCUGGCCUACUGGGCUGACAUUAACUACAAUUAUGGGAAAUGCAAAAGUUGUUUGGAUAUGGUAGUGUGUGGUUCUCUUUUGGAAUUUUUUUCAGGUGAUUUAAUAAUAAUUUAAAACUACUAUAGAAACUGCAGAGCAAAGGAAGUGGCUUAAUGAUCCUGAAGGGAUUUCUUCUGAUGGUAGCUUUUGUAUUAUCAAGUAAGAUUCUAUUUUCAGUUGUGUGUAAGCAAGUUUUUUUUUAGUGUAGGAGAAAUACUUUUCCAUUGUUUAACUGCAAAACAAGAUGUUAAGGUAUGCUUCAAAAAUUUUGUAAAUUGUUUAUUUUAAACUUAUCUGUUUGUAAAUUGUAACUGAUUAAGAAUUGUGAUAGUUCAGCUUGAAUGUCUCUUAGAGGGUGGGCUUUUGUUGAUGAGGGAGGGGAAACUUUUUUUUUUUCUAUAGACUUUUUUCAGAUAACAUCUUCUGAGUCAUAACCAGCCUGGCAGUAUGAUGGCCUAGAUGCAGAGAAAACAGCUCCUUGGUGAAUUGAUAAGUAAAGGCAGAAAAGAUUAUAUGUCAUACCUCCAUUGGGGAAUAAGCAUAACCCUGAGAUUCUUACUACUGAUGAGAACAUUAUCUGCAUAUGCCAAAAAAUUUUAAGCAAAUGAAAGCUACCAAUUUAAAGUUACGGAAUCUACCAUUUUAAAGUUAAUUGCUUGUCAAGCUAUAACCACAAAAAUAAUGAAUUGAUGAGAAAUACAAUGAAGAGGCAAUGUCCAUCUCAAAAUACUGCUUUUACAAAAGCAGAAUAAAAGCGAAAAGAAAUGAAAAUGUUACACUACAUUAAUCCUGGAAUAAAAGAAGCCGAAAUAAAUGAGAGAUGAGUUGGGAUCAAGUGGAUUGAGGAGGCUGUGCUGUGUGCCAAUGUUUCGUUUGCCUCAGACAGACUUCACAGAGAAUGCAGUUGUCUUGACUUCAGGUCUGUCUGUUCUGUUGGCAAGUAAAUGCAGUACUGUUCUGAUCCCGCUGCUAUUAGAAUGCAUUGUGAAACGACUGGAGUAUGAUUAAAAGUUGUGUUCCCCAA